AAGAAAGUGACAGAGCGGCUAUGUAAUCGGCUUGAAACCGGUGCACGGGGGUUCAAUUCCCUCCUUUCUCG
rnacentral:tRNA from 1 species